ACACCUAUAAAUUAAUCUUGCAUUGAGGGGAGGUUUACGAGUUGUAGACAUUUUGUGGAACAUAUCCAACCACUUCAAGACUAUUUAAGGUACGCCCCCCCAGUGGCACAUAUCAAACCACUUCAGGACUAUUUAAGGUAUGCCCUCCAGUGGCACAUAUCAAACCACUUCAGGACUAUUUAAGGUAUGCCCUCCAGUGGCACAUAUCAAACCACUUCAGGACUAUUUAAGGUACACUUUGUUCAUGAAUCUAUAUGGCAAUAGUUCUGUUCUAAAUAGGGAAGUAAAGUGUUAAUAAUUUCUUUUAUGAACUCGUAUUGUUUCUAAGUGAAACCUAGUUGUUUUUGUACUGUGUUAUGAAUAACUUAGCCACUGUGAUAACUUUGACUUCUAAGCUUUUAAUGUGGUGACAAACUACUCUGGGGGGGAUAAUUCAGCCUUAAUUGUCAGCAGUAUGAGAACUUGUAGGGUAAAAUCUCUGCAUUACACACAAAGUAAUGAAUCUCUACAUAGAAAUUUUACAGAUUUAUUAUUAGUCAAGUAUAAAUUAUAUAUAUAUCUAACUGUAUAUUUUGUUUUCUAAAUCCAAAAUUUACUCUGUAUUUUUAGAAAAAGAGCUUUUAAAAACCUUUAUUUUUGCAGUGGCCCACUGGGAGGCCUGUAAUUAUGUACCAAGGCACUGAUUCAAAUUUGUAGUAAUCAUAUUAAUAUACUUUAAUGAAAGAUCUUCUUGUCGUAAAAUCAUUAAUUUGUGAAUUUUAUUUGCAUGUUGUUGUUUUUCAAUGUCUAGUUCAUUUAAUUUCAUUCUACAUGUAAUUUGUUCAUUAUUUUAUUGAUGCCAGUUAUUAAAAACAUUUUUACAUUACACAUUUACUGAGUAUAGAACAAAGCUGUAAUGUGGAUGGACACAAAUAUUAUGCAAGGUUUGUUGAAUGUAACACUUAAAAUCAUCAGAAAAUAAAAUUUGAAUUAAACCAUGUAUAUACUUUUU